rnacentral:lncRNA from 1 species
AGAACUUGUAAGGGCUUGUUUUAAACAAGUUGAGUUAGAGAGAAUUACAAAAGACACAUCAUAGUAGUUGACAGGAGUAUACAUAUUAUUUUUGUGUUUCCUGUUUUCUACUAAUCAUGGCAGGUUAUACGAAGAUCGUUGAGCUGUUGAAACUAGACCCUCAUAUUCAGGAUGUCAUUCAACACUUGCCGUUAUAUGAUGGUAAGUUUGAUCCUAAAGCUUACAUUGAUUGGGAGAUAAAAGUAGAUAAUGAAUUUGAUGAGCAUGACCUGUCCGAGAAACAAAAGAUUUAUAUUGCCUCUAAUGUUUUGACUGAAUAUGCUUUGCUUGAAUGGAAACGCAUUUGUAGGCACAACAAAGUUCUAGAAUCUUGGGAAGACUUCAAAUUUCUUUUUAGAGAUGCAUUCAUUCCUGAAUAUUAUGCUAAUUAUUUGCUUGCAAAAUUAGACAACUUGAGGCAAGGUAGUAGGACUGUGAAAGAAUACUUCCAUGAUUUUAAAAUUUGUAUCAUGUAUGGUGGAUUAGAUGAGUGCAUGGAAGAUGUUAUGUGUAGGUUCAUGAGAGGGCUCAAUUCUGAAAUUCAAACCUUGUUGCUAAGCAAAUCAUACAUACAUAUUGGUCAAUUAUUUUGCCUUGCUCUCAAUGUUGAAAAGGAGAUUCUAUUAUCUGUGAAUACUUGCAAGAAUGAUGUGACCCAUUAUAUCCAAAAUUUGUCCACUCUCCAUGCUAAUGAAGAGCAACAAAUAGUGGAACCCAUUGCUGAUUUUCCUUUGUCACAAAAUGAAUUACUUGCUGUUCCUUGUGAUAAAGAGGACUUGUGUGCUGAUGAUUCUUUUACUCCUAUACCACAAGUAGUGAAUAAGUGUGAUACUUUUGGUUUGGAAUCAUACAAAUGUGCUGAAGAUAAGCUUUUUCAUCCUAUUACUUGUGCACAAGAUGAACUGAAUUUGCUAUCCUCUUUAAAUACUUUGGGUUACAUUGAAUUUGAUGUUUUGUGUAAUCUAAAUUGUCUAAAAGAGAAACUUCAAUUUGGUUCUGGUUUGCCAAGUUUUAAUCAUUGUUCGCUUCAUGCAAUUGGCAAAUAUGAUAGCAAAGGAGAAUAUUUGGUGCAUAAAGUUUAUGUUUGCUCCACUCUAAAAUAUCCUUUUGGGCUACAAUACCAUGAUCAAAUAGAGGGCUGCACUAACACUAAUAAUGUCUUGCAAAGUUUUUCUAGUUUUUCCCAUAUGCAACAGGGUAAGACCAAAGAAGGGGAGCAUUACUGGUUGUGGCCAUGCAGCAUGGCCGUCGCUCCGUGCUCCAACAUCAAAACAAGCACCUUAGAAUGCCACUGGAGCAAGUCGAGGACGACUUGCAGCCAAGAAGGGGAGAAUGAUGAGGACAUCACAUGCUCGGAUACAACCAUAUUGGCAUCUUUUGACUCUAAGGUGAAACAAUUCUUUAUCAUAAUUAUAUGUGAUACAUUUGAUGAAUUGAUGCUGCACCAUGAUGUGUAUUCGUUGUCAAUUUCAGAAAUAGAUACAUGGAUCAAAAAUAGUGUUAAACACACAUGGAAGGCAUGGAGGAACAAAGAAGUAGAUUGGGGGCCAAGUCCAAGUAUUCCUAACGUCCUCCACCAGGCCACCACGUCACUUUUGGCCCAAGGAAAGAAAGAUAUCCAAUCCAACACGUUUUGGUGCUGGAUUCGGACUACAGUUCUGGCCCAACUUGCAACGACCGCCACGACCUCAUCCGGACUCCGUUUUGGGCGUUCAAGUACUCCAUGGAAUCCUUAUGAAGUCUAUUUUCAUAUGGAUCCGGAAUCAUGUCCAUAUCUAUUCUGAAGCGGCCGCAAUCAUCGAAAUACUACCGAGAGGUUUUCUGUCCACAAGUGUUGCGUCGCCCUAUUUUGGCCCGAUGGGCCGUGUAUCAAGUUGGGUCCAUUAGGGACGUGUCCUAGGGUUGGAGCACGACCCCAACACCCCCCUGGUCGUCCUCCUAGGUAUUAAUAAGGAUUAGAGCCGCCACGAACAGAUUGGGUUUUGUUUUGUUGAAAGUUUAGCCAUUGCUACUUCCUUGUAGACGCGUGUGUCGACUAGACCAUCCGUUCUACUCGAUUCAGAACCCCAACUUUGUGUUUUCAGAUUGGUUUCCAUCUCUAUAUUUGCAAUUGAGUUGCUUGUUAUACUUGUUCUUGCUUGUUCUUCGAUUGCUUGCAGGACGAGUGCCCUAGUGGCCGGGUGACGCGCUCCACAAGAUCGCGGCAGCCAUUGGAGGUGGUGUAUCGGUUGCUAAGGCGCAGCUUGGAAGGCUGUAGUCGGGCCGUGAACGUCGUCUCCAUCCACCAAUCGAGUUAUCCACGCCUCUCAUCGAAAGAUCGGGAAUCAACCCUAGCGGGUUCAUAUCAGUUGGUAAUCAAAGCAAGGUUUAUCGGUGAGAGACUUCUAGUUCGUUGCUGUUUUUAAUUUCCUAUAGUCCAGAAAAAACCAAAAAAUUAGUAGAUUAGUUUACUCGCAAUCCUAUAAACCCUUUGAGCCUUUGCUAGGACUGCUUAGUUAGGGCUUGUUGAGUUUUUGGUUGCAUCAGUUGUGUCGAGUUGCUGGUCUUAGUGUCUAUUCCUUUAGAGUUUUGAGUUCUAUCACGUUUUGGUCACCACGAGAUCCACCAUCACCAUAUACAUCAUUGCUUCGUUUCUACCACCACGGUUUCAUAUGAUGUCCGAUUUGGGAGUUUAAAUACAAUCUGGAAACUUGAAGUUGUCUUCUUUCCAACGGAUCUGACCUUGCAGCAAUAUUCGGUCUGAGCGCUCCACAAUCGUCUUAGAGAUUUUCGCAUCUGCUGUAUUAACAAGAGUUGUUAAAUUUAAAAUUUGAAGGGGCUGUGUGCAAUAGCCUUAUUGUUUGGGUUGUCAUAGUACCCAAUAAAAGAUUUAGGCCUCUGCAAAAAAAAAGAAACAAAAAAACAAGAGGAAGAAAAAAAAAGAAGAAGAAGAAAAAAAAAGACAAGACAAGGAGAAGAAAGAAGGGGCUGAAUCUGUUGUUUUCUUUGUGCUGUGCUGCUCUUUUCAGUGACUACCUUUGUGCCUAGGCUCACGUCUCUAGCAUGGUUUAGCCUAGGACCAGCACAGUACCGCCGUUGAAUGAUUACUCAACUUGCUUUUGUGACUAAUGUGGUGCUAGUAUAUUUCCUUGCUUAAGCCCACCUACAGCUCCACAUAUUCGACUCCAGCUUGACAGGUAUUUGUUGCUACGGCACCGAUACACUUCACUCCAUGGUUGUAGACUUGUUGGUUGCCGUCACCUCCUGUUUGGCUUGGUAAGAACUUGUAAGGGCUUGUUUUAAACAAGUUGAGUUAGAGAGAAUUACAAAAGACACAUCAUAGUAGUUGACAGGAGUAUACAUAUUAUUUUUGUGUUUCCUGUUUUCUACUAAUCAUGGCAGGUUAUACGAAGAUCGUUGAGCUGUUGAAACUAGACCCUCAUAUUCAGGAUGUCAUUCAACACUUGCCGUUAUAUGAUGGUAAGUUUGAUCCUAAAGCUUACAUUGAUUGGGAGAUAAAAGUAGAUAAUGAAUUUGAUGAGCAUGACCUGUCCGAGAAACAAAAGAUUUAUAUUGCCUCUAAUGUUUUGACUGAAUAUGCUUUGCUUGAAUGGAAACGCAUUUGUAGGCACAACAAAGUUCUAGAAUCUUGGGAAGACUUCAAAUUUCUUUUUAGAGAUGCAUUCAUUCCUGAAUAUUAUGCUAAUUAUUUGCUUGCAAAAUUAGACAACUUGAGGCAAGGUAGUAGGACUGUGAAAGAAUACUUCCAUGAUUUUAAAAUUUGUAUCAUGUAUGGUGGAUUAGAUGAGUGCAUGGAAGAUGUUAUGUGUAGGUUCAUGAGAGG